GUUGCACUCCGUCUCUCUGGCCACUUUGUGCGUUCCCACCUGACAGGCCACACUUCUCCGGCGCACGCCCCGGCCACAGGACACAGAACACUAAGAAGACAGACUGUGGGCUCGUCCUAUGUGCACUGUAGGAACUUUGGCAGCAUCCCUGGACUCUACCCACUAGAUGUCAGUAGCAUUUCUCUGCUCAGCCAAGUUGUGACAACCAGCACGGUCUCCAGGCAUUGCCAAGUGUCCCAAGAGGUACAAAAUCACCCCCGGUUAAGAGCUUACCUCUGUGAGGAUAAGCUCUCAUGCUCCCAGUCCACUGGGAAGGAGGUGAAAAAGGCAAGCCAGAAACUGAAAGAGCUCAGUGACUAUGAAAAGCUACUUUCCUGAAACUCACCCUUCAAAGAUGGAAAGAUCUCUUGGAAUUCAAGCUUCCACAAGGUGGCUGCCUGGAGUUUCCAUUUUUGCCUUCUCCUGCAAAGCAUCAAUCAAGCCCUGCCCUUUCAGAACACUGAACACAUAAACACUCUUUCUCCUUAACUGAACUUACUGCCAUGAUGAACUUGAACUCUGAGAUGCACAAGAGGAGAGUAUGUUUUAACAGCUGCUUUUAAACUGCAGCCCUGGAGUUACUACUUCCAAGACAGCUGGUUCUGAUAAGCCUCUGUUAAGCCCUGUUCUCUCUAAUGCCCAGCUGUCAGGGAACACCCCUGAAGUGUUCCAAAACAAAAGCACAGAAGAGAAACAGGGCAAGGGAAUGGUACUCAAUGGAUGCAAAGGCAUCCUACACAGGGGCCCCUCAUGUGCUGACAUAGUUUUUCUCCCCAGUUUAUUUUUAUAAGUUUGUUGAUUCUUGGCUAGUUGAGUAACAACUGCUAACGAUGUUGUGUUGCCUGAGGUUGCCCUGUCCAUCAGCCACAGGUAGCUGUUUAAAUUUAUAGAGUAAUUAAAAUUAAAUAUAGUUUAAAAUGCAGUAUCUCUGUUGCACUCAGUCAUACUUCAACCACUCAGUAUUAGUCACGUGUAGCUUCCAUAGUGGAAAGCAAAGAGGAAGGACAUUUCCAUCAUUGUAGAAAGUUACUAGAAGGCAUUGGCCAAGGCAUAACCUCUUUCUAACAGGAGAAAGGGGAUGCAGGUCUGGCUAAGAAUGGCUUUGUAGGCUCAGCCCAUAUUAUCUCCAAUACUACUUCCUGCACAUUCUUUUCUUGGCUGCCAACGUUCUACUUUAUAAAUUUCUGGAAAGGGAAGUUGUGGUCGCUAAAACCAUCCAUGAAACACUUUAGAGGAAGCAAAACGAGAGACAAAGUGGUGGUGUGGCAAUCACACAUUACAGAUUUUUUUUUUAUUGGUACCCAUUAAAUGACAAAAGGCGGAAUAUACCUCAGCCACAACUCCCCACAUUUGUGGGAAGGAGGCUGAAGAUCCCAGCAGGGAGAGGCAGAAAUGCAGUCCCCCCACUCAGACCACUGAACUCCAAUCUGCAUUCUAACAUAAAGGUGAAGAGAAGCACAUUGAUAGGAGGUUGUUAAAGAUUCCGUGCUAGCAGCAAUGGAGCACUGGUCACUGAAAAUGCCUGGGGAAUUGCACAUUUAAAAGGAAAGACAGGAUGGACAAUUUACUGAACAAGGAUCAUAAGCAGUUGGGAAGAUACAUGCAUGCCCUAAGAGCACUUUGCAUUUGUAUUUUUAUGGUUGCAGUGAGACUACUGGUGAGCAUAGGAGGAAGGUCAUUUUUAAUAACAUGCGCAGUUAGUUUUGUUUGUUUAAUACCAAGUUUUCUUUCCCCACUAGAAUGAAGAGCUCUGAUUUGGUCAUUGCUGCAUUCCAGCAGUUAGAGCAGUACCUGGCUCACAGGAGGCACUUAAGAAGUAUUUGCUGAAAAAUUCGUCAUUUUUUUUUUUUUAAAGGAAGAGUUCAAAGUUUUUUACCCCAUGAUAUAAAUCUUCCUCAACUGCCUUUACUAAUCAGGAUUCCCUCCCAGACAAUUAGACUUUGGUCUCAGCCUCAACCUCCCACUCCGCAUUCCAAACUUUCCAUUCCUUAGGGAUACCAGAGGGCGACGCGAUGACGUGGGUCAGUGAGGGACCUGCACUCCUCCUCAGGGUCUAAUAACCCUCCUACCCCUGCUUCCCCAACCUCCGGACCUCUUAAACUGUAAGAAUAGAAAUCUGUCAAGCUGUCAUGAAAUAUCAGCUAUCAGAAAGCAGAAACUGAGUCUGAUAAGCAUGCAAUCGCUGUAAAUACUAAAUUAAUUAAUUAAUUAAUGCCAGCUAAAUCUGAUCUCCAAUGAAACAGAUGCAGGCCAGUGUUUUGCUUGCUUUGAACACGUUUAAGAUGCAUGAUUUACAGAGUUUUAAUCUACAUUGAAUUUAGGUGAACUUUAUAAUUUCAUAUUUUGUCAUGUUUUGAUUUUAAAAAACUCUUAUUUUUUAUACACCAUAUUGAUAGAGCCAAAUAAUGUGUUUCUCAUUUCCUUUUUGAAAAGGCACUAGCAGCAUGUAUGUCUUUGUUAGCAAAAAAUCUUAAAAAAUGCAUAUGCAUUUAAUGUGAUAUCCCUUACAGUCAGAAUGUUUAUAUCAUUGUCCUCAUUUGGCUAAUGUGAUACCUUUAAAAUGAAAGAGAUAGAUAUUUUGCCAUUCUCUAAACAUAACCAGUUGUUUGAAGUGUUCAUAACUACUGGUUAUAGAAUUAACCAACAACCCUAAUCACUUUGGAUUUUGUGUUGUUGGAGCCAAAUGCACGUCGGUAUUAGCUAAAUGAAAUUGAAGUCACAUGCUGCUUGAGUUCUAAGUGUACCCUUUAUGGAAUAUAAAAUAGGAGUGUAAAAAAUUCAUACUGAACAUGGAUUAUUUCUUUCUAUCAAAAUAAGCAGGAUUAAUAUAGUCGGUAUAUUGACACUAAACUUGUCUGACUAAACUAGAUUAUCACACAGUCGAAUCGAUUCAUAAAAACACCUCCCUCAUGGUGUAACAUGGGUGCUAAAUGUGAUGGGCAUUUGUUUACCUUGUCUUGGGACACAGUAAAUACUCGGUAAAAAUUAGCUAUCCAUCAUCAUCUGCUUUGGAGAAGUUACCUUAUUCAGUGCCUUACAAAUAAACCUCAGACUCAUAUGGGGACUCUCUUAUUUUGGUCCUUUCACACUCAAUUAUUCUAAUAAACUGCAUUGCAAAAUGAAGCUUCCGUAGGGGAAUGUAGGACCAAUAGGCACUUGGGGUCAUCUUUAUAACAUUUUUUGGAAAGUGUAGCCUCUUUGAAAACUUCUAAGUUUAUUGUUAGAGUAUUUUCUUUAACAGGAAAUGUUUUCUGAAAUGUAUUGCAGGUGAACAAGUAACAAAAUUGACAAAUGCUGUAAGUCAUUUACAGUUAUCUGAACACAAAGAAUAGGGCUGAUCACAUUUUUGCACAUUAGCUUAGCUUUUUCCUGCACCUAGAUUCUCUAAUAUGUUCAGGACCAUUUCUUCUAAUUCUUUGUUUGGUCUUCUAGCUAUGUUUUACCAUUAUCCACAAAUUCAAUAAAUGGAGCAUUCAUAUUUCAUAGUGGAGAUUCAAUGAAUCAGAACAGCAGUAUUAGAAAAGAAAAAAAACAAAUGUUAAGCCUCAUAAAUUUUUGUUUAUAUCACUAAGCAUCAUUUCCAAUUCAGAAAUAUUUUUUAAAGUAUCCCUUUAAAUUACAUAUUUUAAACGACUGAAUUACAUAAAGCUUGCCACUUGGCUACUCAGAUUUGGGAGAGGGACGGUACAGGUUGGAGGGGAUUUACAAAAUUAAAAGCAUAUCUUUUUAAACCCAAAAGAAACCUAUACAUGCAUUUCUAAUCCACAUAGCCUAUAUGCCUUUACAGUCUGCUGAUAAACACUAAUUUUAAAACAUUGUAUAUAACAUUAAAUAACAUGGAAAAAAUAAAUAUGUUUUAUUAUAUAAACACAUAGAAAUCUGUACUGGUAAAAAUAUUCAGAUAAUACUAGGCUUGGCUGCUUAAAGCUGUAUUCAGAAAAGAUGGCAGUGAUAUUUACAUGUUUUAUUUUUGCUAGAAAUAGAUGUAGUGAGGUGAUAAAAUACUGAUGACAGACAUUUGCUCUUCCUACCUACAGAAGUUGCAAACUUUAAUGUGAAAAUGAGGUAGACACAAAUUUAUAAGUUGGCCAGGCAGAAAGAAAAGCACAGUUCCUCUGUGAACUCAUAAAUUCUUAUUAUUUGGGUUGACAAGCAUUAUACCAAAGCACCUAAAGUAAGGCUCAGAGAACACUUUUAACUUUUGGGUUUGUCAUGAAGAACUCAAAAAAACACAAUUUCUCCUAAGGAGAAUCACCGAUGAUGGGCGGCAACGCAAACAGGAAUGUUACAGGGCCAUCUUGGAUAGGUCACACUACAUAGAAACCUUUUUACUCUCAUCUUCUCCAUGAAUCAGCUUACUGUAGAAUGCUGUGGAUUUUUAAUCUACCUUUUGCAGUGGUUUGCAGUUUAGAGCUUUCUCUCCAAUUUAUGCCUCCAGACAUGGGACACAUGCAUCUACUUCCCAGUCUGCUCCUGGCUGCCUGCAGGACCUGACUGCAAAGCAGAUCACUGUGAGAACCUUAUUUUGAAAAGAAAAUGUUACCGAGUAAGAGUACAAGGGCACCUUAAAAAGAGGGAAGAAAAGGUUGAAUUUUUGGAGGGUGUUCUUCACAAUCAUGAUUCUAAGUCUGCAAUGACGUGAGCCAAAACUAAGGAUCUAAAAUGGGUACUUGAACUUUAUGUUCACCAAAGCUUCAUUUCAGACUCUGGAAGCCAUGCUAAAGCGAUGUAAUGAUUGCUGAGCCAGGCCGUCUCCACUGCGACCUUGGAAAAGGCCUACUCCCAGGGCCGCACUUGCACUUGCUCCGGGCACUAUCUCCUGUGAGGGAGUACUUGGGAGAGAAAGCAACCCACUGAAGGACUAAUUGCUAUCUUUGGUCUCUAAUAAAUCUAGUUUGUUUUCUGUUGAAUGAGACCUGUUAGCACCUCAAAUACACUUUUUGUUGCUCUGAAUUUCACUGUCAGUUACAAUGAUGAAGCACCAUAGAAGUGGCUUUAUGGCUAUUAAAACAACUCACUGAGGUAUGCUUAAAUUUAGAGAUUGUACCAAAGCAUCCACAAAAAUCAACAUAAAAGUGAUAAAAGUGAAAUCAAAACCGCACAGGAAGAAUCUGAAAGACUGCCCUCAUACACAUGUAUUUUAAGUAAUAUAUUAAUUACCAAUAUAUCUAUUUAAAUAAAAUGAUUUUAAUGUAAUUUUUAAAAAAUCACAAUUAAAAGCCUUGCAGAGUGGCCUUGCUCCUAGACUGCAGAGGCAUUUAAAUAUAUACUUGAGUAAUGACCACUUUGCAAAGGAAGCAUUAUAAUCAUAUAGGCAGCAGACACAUUUUUCAAAUCCACGUGUUUGCUUCUGUGCAUAACAGAGCAUUAGAAUCUUUCUUUCUCUAAGUGUUUCAGAAAACUGUGUACAGGCCUAAGGAGCACAAUAAAAACAGAACAACAACAACAAAAACAACCCUUAAAGUCAUCAGUUAAAUUAAUAAGCAGAUUAUAUUUUAAAAUGUAAGUGUUUAGCCUCUUAAAAUACCUGUGGGAGAGGGUAGUGACCCUCUGUAAAAUAUCUGAGCUUUAUUUAGAAAGCCUUCAAGGAAGGGAAUGCUUUGAAAACUUAUAUAUAUAUAAAAUAGUGUGUAUAUUGUAUAUUAUUAUACCACAAUACAUUAUAUUAUCAUUAUAUUACAUAUACACACACAGAAUACCCUCGGAGGGUUAAGAGACGUUUUUGGUCAAAAUUUAAAAGGCACAGCUUUUUAGAAAGCUAGACUUUUUGAAACAUAACGUGCGUGCUGUAGUGGUUGGUGAAUGAAUGGGGUGAAAAUAUAAUGGGCUCAAGAGGAAAAUUUCAAGAAAAAUAGUAUGUAAUAGGUGACUCAGGGGAGUUGGGAAUGUCAGGACUAUCCUGACAUUCUCAGGUAAUAUGAUAUUUUUCAAAAUGUUCAUUUGGGGAGGGCGCCAGUAUAGCAGACAAAAUGUUCCAGGUGAACCAAACAUCUGACUCAGAGUGGCAUUUCUUAAGCUCUUGAAUAAGAUCCUUACCGCACAGCUACAUAGUACUAGUUGAGAUGAUAACUCUGAAUUCUUCUAGAUUCCUACUUCCUACAAAGUACAGUGGCUCUAGAGCCAGUGAUCUACCUGCAGACACAGUCUGAGACUGAAACCCUCAGUCUUACAAGCACCAACAGGUAUUUAGCCGUGUCACUUCAGUUAAUCUGCUGUUUAUCAGGUUUCAGAAACGUUUAAGACUUUUCCUCAUAAAUUCUAUGAAAUAAAAAGGUUUCUGGAUAUGACUGAAUAUAAUACUAAAUUCAGCUUCAGUGCAAUUAAUGUAUUUACAGGGACGUUUACUCUAUCUACAUAAACAGCCCUAAGGGCCCCACAGCUUACCGCACAACUUAGCCAAACUAUUGUUUUGACAUAAGGCAUCCUUGUGUUUGUCAAGAGCUGCCCCAGAAGUUUGCAUAGCAGUUACAGGAGCAAACCUGUCUCACAAUGCCAGCUAAGCAGACAGCAAAGGGAGCCUAGGACCAGAGCAAACAGGAGUCCCAAAUGAGCCUCGCAUCUCAGGAGGAGAGAGAGGACAUUUCAGAGACCUUGAAAGGCACCACGUCACUGAGUCCACAGUUGGUCCUUCACAUUUGCAAAGUGAUUUCAGUCUACAUUGUAGGUGCAGCCUCAUGGUGAUUGUGUUGAAAGCUGUACCCAAGUCACACAAGCAAAUUAUAGUCACCGAAAUAAAAAUUGCUUUGGCCUCAAUAAGCAGGUAUCUUCCCAGAAAAGUCAAAACUACCAUAGCUUAGAAAUGGAAAGAAUGCCUGCUAUUGAAUUGUCUGCUUAAGUCACUUUGGAGCUUAACAACUGCAUGAAGUUAUUUCGUUUCUUUAAUUAUCUAUCUAUAUCUAUAUCUUCAUCUACAUAGUCUAGUUCUCCUAAGCAAGGAAGUUACUUCUUGGCACUGGCACCAGGCCUCUUUGAGGUACAUGUAUUCUGUAAAGUCACUUUGGCAACACCAUAAAAAAUUAAUUCUGUUGUAUAUUAAAAUGAAAAAAAAAACACCCAAUAGAUUGCUUAUAGCACAGUUUCAGGGCUGCCCAAUUAUCUGUUGCACAGGACUGCCCCAGAAUGCCUUGGAACUGGCAUGUCAGUUAGCUAGUCUGGUUAGCAAACA